GGUGUCUAGGGUGUCUAGCAACGUUGGGUACCUCGUUUCUUGUGUGUGUGAUCGAGUGGUUGCUGUUUACGAUGUGUUCAUAUAUCGCUUUGUAGUGCUGUAAUGUGCAAAUUAGCGGACUUUAUAGCGGCUCUCUAUUUUCCGUCGUUGUCUUUCGAGCAGCGCCUGUUGUUCCGGUAAAAAUCGAGUUGAAUGAAUCGCCACAGCCCCAACGUAUAUCGCGCAGUGUUGACCAAGACCAAGUCAAGCAGGAAUUCUGGCAUGGUAUGUGGCUGCACGAAGGAUUCCGGAAAAGAAAAACAACAACAUGGCUAAUAGGAUGUUGCUGCCCAGGGAGUCCUGGCGAAGAGGUUUACUCAUUCCAGAAGCAAGAAUUGUAUCAUUGUAAGGCGAAUGGAAAUAAACUGACAUCGACUGAGA